rnacentral:ribozyme from 16 species
CGCGUCAAUGCUAAGAAUAUGCAGCAGAGAUAUACUUCCCGACAAAAAGAAGGAAAUUCCUAAAACGAAAAAGGAGACCAUGGUGAAACUGGUCAUUGGU